rnacentral:rRNA from 1 species
CCGUGCGAAGGUAGCAUAAUCACUUGUUCUCUAAAUAGGGACUUGUAUCAACGGCAUCACGAGGGUUACACUGUCUCCUUUCUCCAAUCAGUGAAACUGAUCUCCCCGUGAAGAAGCGGGGAUAAGAAUAUAAGACGAGAAGACCCCAUGGAGCUUUAAGCUCAACAACACCUCUACAAUAUACCUCCUCUUAAACUACGAGACCUGUCUGUUAGCUUUAGGUUGGGGUGACCGCGGAGUAUAAUAUAACCUCCACGACUGACGGGACUAACCCCUUAUCCAAGAGCCACUGCUCUAAGAAUCAUUAAUUUGAUGUAAAAUGAUCCGUUCUUCGAUCAACGAACCAAGUUACCCUGGGGAUAACAGCGCAAUCUACUUCAAGAGCUCCUAUCGACAAGUAGGUUUACGACCUCGAUGUUGGAUCAGGGUAUCCUAGUGGUGCAGCCGCUACUAAAGGUUCGUUUGUUCAACGAUUAAAACCCUACGUGAU